UACGAAGGGGGGCUAGCGUUGCUCGGAAUCACUGGGCGUAAAGCGCACGUAGGCGGCUUCUUAAGUCAGGGGUGAAAUCCUGGAGCUCAACUCCAGAACUGCCUUUGAUACUGAAGAUCUUGAGUUCGGGAGAGGUGAGUGGAACUGCGAGUGUAGAGGUGAAAUUCGUAGAUAUUCGCAAGAACACCAGUGGCGAAGGCGGCUCACUGGCCCGAUACUGACGCUGAGGCACGAAAGCGUGGGGAGCAAACAGGG
rnacentral:rRNA from 1 species